UCCUUGCCUGCUGUUUGGUGCUCUUGGUUCCUUCUAAAAGCCUCUGAGAAGGGACAUAACCCACAGCAGGCCCAGAGGAAAAAAGAUGAAACACUCCUACAGCCAAAAAGGCUGCAUUCCUCACACAAACACCACACAACACAUUUGUCUGGUUUCCCCAUCUCCAGCCACCCUGCUGACCCCUUAGAGUGUCUCUGCAGGCCAUGAACUUAGCAGAAAACAGCAUUUUUGACCAGUUCCUUUUGGCCACUGGAUAGGUCUGAAAGCUCCAGAGUUAGAGACACACGGAGGAGCUCAGUAACUCGAGGGCAAAGGGUGAUCACAGAGAAUUUCCCCAAGAUGCCAAGACCCCGAGGGGCAGGGAGGAUGUUCACUCAGGCCCAGAAGGAAGAGCUCUCUGACAAAGCAUUUCUCCAGUCAGGAGGUGCAGGUUGAGCAAUGGGCUGACACCAGCUGAAAACAGCAGCCUGGGAGGGAGCAGAGGGAGGCAAAACCACGAGGAUAUCUCUGAGGUCACCACGGAAAACAGUCUCUGACUAAGAAGAAAAAAGAAGCCAGAAUUGCAGCAUUGUUACUUCAUCCAGGGAACUUUGUUUAAUCAAGACCAGCAGGCUCAGCAUGACCACAUAAAAAAAGCUACCAGGCUUUUAUUGGAAUUCCUGCCUGUAUUUAUUAUUUAUUUUCCUGCCAGGUUUAACUAGCAGUGGACUCUGCCUGGAAAAGGCAAUUCCCACUUUAUUCCCUGACUGUGUUUACUCUGAUCUACUGUGGAGUCACCAGGCCCUACUUCCCUCCACGUAAAUAGAAGCAUUUCAAGAGGAACAGGGAGGUUGUCAGCCUUGGACAGGAGAAAACAUCCACUUCCAGAGUUUUCUGCUGGAAACCCUUCUCCUUCGAAUCACCAGCCUUGCUGUCGUGAAAAAUGUUGUCACCACAAAAUUCCUUAGGUCCUUCAGAAGUGGCUUUUUCCAGGAGUAAUUGGAAAAGACAAUUCUACCCCUUUUCCCACAUCACCCUCCACCAAAACCAGACAGAUCUCUCUGUUUCUGGCAGUUCCUGCUUUCCUGUCAGGUGGGAAGAUGAGGAUUGAGCAACAGCACCUCCAAAAGCAACCAAACCUCAAAGACAAUGUGCUUUGCCUGCUAUCUACAAGAACCAAACCAAGAAUGUCAUGAUUAAUUUAAAAAGCAUCUUUAUUUCACUUGCAAAAACUUGUGUUAUACCAUAAAUCAGGGAAUAAAUGAAAGGUUAAUCACCUGUAAUUUCAGUUCAGUUGCUCUGUGAGGGAUGCUGUCCUUUACAGUUCCUCUCCAUGAAGAUUCCAGGAACUUUGUUAACAUUCCCAUCGUGUUCCAGCACUAAGAUUACAGUCAACAAACAGGGCACUGUUUGAAGUUGGUCACUGAAGAAGCUCCCAGCACCCUUCCAAGUGACACUUCCACUGCACCUGCCUGCCAGAGGCUGCCUGGAAAGGGAGGAAUCUCCCUGCUGUGUCCCAGGGCUCCUCCCGCCCACUGAUCUGGGAGGGGAAGGGAAAGGAAAGGGAGAGGGGAGGGAGACGACCAUGAGGAAUAGGGAGAUGAGGGAAAAUCCCGGCCUCAGAGUAUCAGGAGACAGGUAGAGAGCUGGAAGAGGGGCAAAGGGAGAGAGGAAAGGCAUCUAGAGCCAUCUGCCUUUUCCAGGCAGGGAACA